GCACAACGCGAAGAACCUUACCAGCCCUUGACAUGGUCGGACGGUUUCCAGAGAUGGAUCCCUUCACUUCGGUGACUGACACACAGGUGCUGCAUGGCUGUCGUCAGCUCGUGUCGUGAGAUGUUGGGUUAAGUCCCGCAACGAGCGCAACCCUCGCCCUUAGUUGCCAUCAUUCAGUUGGGCACUCGUAAGGGGACUGCCGGUGAUAAGCCGGAGGAGGUGGGGAUGACGUCAAGUCUUCAUGGCCCUUACGGGCUGGGCUACACACGUGCUACAAUGGUGGUGACAGAGGGCUGCUAGGCCGCGAGGCCAUGCUAAUCCCGAAAAGCUAUCUCAGUUCGGAUUGCACUCUGCAACUCGGGUGCAUGAAGUCGGAAUCGCUAGUAAUCGCAGAUCAGCACGCUGCGGUGAAUACGUUCCCGGGUCUUGUACACACCG
rnacentral:rRNA from 1 species